rnacentral:lncRNA from 1 species
AUGAAGACGAUUCUUUCUUCCGAAACGAUGGACAUCCCCGACAGUGUUACCAUCAAGGUUCACGCUAAAGUGAUCGAAGUCGAAGGACCUCGCGGGAAGCUUGUUCGCGAUUUCAAGCAUCUCAACCUCGAUUUCCAGCUGAUCAAGGAUCCAGAGACUGGAAAGAAGAAGCUUAAGAUCGAUUCGUGGUUUGGAACACGCAAAACCAGCGCCUCCAUCAGAACCGCUCUUAGCCACGUCGAUAACUUGAUCUCCGGUGUUACCAGAGGUUUCCGUUACAAGAUGAGGUUCGUGUACGCCCAUUUUCCCAUCAACGCCUCCAUCGGCGGUGACGGAAAGUCUAUCGAGAUCCGUAACUUCCUUGGCGAGAAGAAGGUUUGUUUUAUCUUCUUCAUCUCUGAUUUGAUUCUCAUAGAUUCGUGUAGAUCUCGGAAUGAAAUAGACUGACACUAGAUUCAACUUUAUGAUUGGACGAUGAUGAUUGAUUUCUGAGUUUGCGAGCACUGAACUUACAUAGAAAUGUGUUUAUUGGAAUAAUAGGUGAGGAAGGUAGAGAUGUUGGAUGGUGUAACCAUUGUUCGAUCUGAGAAGGUGAAGGAUGAGAUUGUUCUUGACGGUAACGAUAUCGAGCUUGUUUCAAGGUCGUGCGCUCUGAUCAACCAGGUACUCCAUUCUUUAACUAGUAGAUAUCACAAUUUUGUUUUAAUGAUCUGAAGAUAUCACAAUUCUCUCAUAGUCUACUAUAUCCACAACAACUUGAAAUUAAUCUUGGGUCGAAAAGAUAGAGCCGUUGUGUAGUAUAGGAGACGUAGAUUUCUUUUGUUUUGGUUGAUGUUUGAGUUUGGGAUCACAUUUUGCAUAGUGAAAUCGAACUGAUUCAUCUAUAACUGAUUUAAUGCGCUCUGGUCAACCAAUAUUUUAUUGGUUAAAAUGUGUUUCUCAUAGUCUUGUACAAUAUCAACUAGGAAUAUUCUGAGCUAACUUGGCCGAGUUUGCAUAUUGUUGUAUGAAGGAAAGCAUAAGCGAUUGUGUUUAAAAAUGAUUCUUUGUUGACAAUUUAACUUUGUUGUCAUAUAUUUCAUAGUUGAACUGACUUGAUUCUUUAUGUUUUACUGUCUUAUGUAACUGCUAUGGUUUGCAUUAUUGUGCAGAAAUGUCACGUGAAGAAGAAGGAUAUCAGGAAGUUCCUUGACGGUAUCUAUGUUAGCGAGAAAAGCAAGAUCGUAGAGGAAGAAUGAAUACUCAUAUUCCCCUCUUAGCUCAUAUUUCUUGUGUUUGGAAUGUUGUUAGUUUUGUUUUAUGGACCAAAUCCACCGGUGAUGUAAACCUUGCCUUUUUUUUGUUCGAGAAUUUAUUAACUUAUGCAACAAGUUUUGGAGACAAUUAGAGACCCAUUCACUCUCACACUUUUGCCAAAUUACAUCUUCUCGGAUGAAUUUUGAAUUCUGAAGAAUUUGGUUGUGUUUUUGAAUUCCAGAACAUUAUAAUCCAUUGUCCUGAAUGAAAACGCCCACAAAUUUAGAGGGUGUUAUCGGUUCCUAAUUUACAAGAAAUUUUGAUGACUUUAGUUAAAUCUUUGAAAGUAAAGAAAUGAAAGAUUAUAAACGAUUGUUAGAGAGUUUUUUGAUAAUCUUGUUGAUUAGUUUUUUAUAAUUUUGUAAAGUUUUCCAAACAAUCUCUCUAUUUUAAUAAUAUUUUCCAUGACUUUCCAUGACUUCAUUUUGUAAAGAAAAGUGUAGGAAAUCAUGAACCAAUAACACAAUAAUUUAAAUCAUUAACAAUCAUUAAAAAUCAAAGAUUCUUUUGUUUUAAUUGAAUAACACAAAACUUUUAAUGAUUUAAUAAAAGUUCGUAUCUAAUAACCCAAAAUUUAUGAAGAUUUUAGAUUACUUUUUACAAAUCUUAAACGAAUAACACAAAACUUUAACAUACUUUAAAAAAGUCUUGAUUGAAUAACAACAGAUUUUACAUGACAAUUUAAAUCAUUAAAACUCUUUUGAAAUCAUAAACGAAUAACACCCUAUUAAUAUUUAGUCAAAUUAAUACUCAUACUUUUUCUAACUUAAAUUUAAUACUCAAAUACUUUUUCAAAUACUCAAAUUUAAUAUUUAACAAAACUUUUUCAUUUGUUACUCAAAUAAACUUUUAUAAUUCUAGCUGGGAAAAUUUCCAAAAAUAAACUUCAACUAUUUAAUAUUUGCCAGAAUUCUUUUUUUUUCUUUUCUCGUUGCCUAAAAUAAUCUAAUCUAGUUUACGGCCCAUAAAACAAAGGGUUAUUGAGUUUAUAGUCAUAAACUAAUUGCAUUCUCAGAUUUUCCUCAAUGGAUUAUAAAAUCAGCCAUAAACCCUAUAAAAUCAGUCAAUUUUUUUUUUCAUCCUAAAACAAACACAAACUAUUCUUUAUUUUCUAAUUUCUCUUCGUCUUCGUUAUGGCCGUUAACGACAUCGUUGACGUCGUUACUAUUUUUGAGAAAAUUUCUAACCCAAAUUAUGAAAUUUUGCUUGAAAAAAAUACCUGAAUUUCUAUUUCCUUGCCAUAAAAUAACACAUAUCAACAUUUUUUUUUCUCUUCUUUUAUUCCAUUAACAAUGUAAGAUGGUCAAAUGUCAUAACUUUAUGUGCUCUCUUGAACCUCAUACAAGUUCUCAUUACUAUUUAGGACAAUUAAAUUCAACAACAAAAAUACACAAUUAGAUUAGUCUAUUUCUAUUUUUUUCAAUACCCAAACUAAACCCAUAUCGAAAAAACCCGAUUUGGGCGAGUAAGAGUUUCAGGAAUGUACCUCAUUGGAUAGAGUUCGGGUCGGUCCGGAUCAGAGAUUGCCCAUUACACACACCGGAUAUCCAUAAACCCGAUAUAAGGUAUGUGUAUAUAUACGGUAUAGAUAUAGUUUUAUACAUUUAUAGACUAGUUUACCUUUUGCAUGCUUGAUUGAAUUACCCAUGCAUCAGUUUCCAACAAGGCUACAAUCCUACUUCUCGUUGUAGUUCUAUACUUUUUAUUUUCAGAUAGUCGGAUUUAUGUUUUCAAAUUCAUUAUCGGAUUACUCACUCUUAAUUCUAAGUAUUACACUUUGUGAUUUUGGAUUGGAUUUGGAUGUCAAGUUUGAAGUGUUUUAUUCUCUUUAUUACUCACAUUUUGGGUUUACGGUUAAUUUUUAUCCAUUCAGACCCGAACCCGAAAGAAUUCAAAAUUUUCAAGUAUUUACCGGUUCUCAGACUUAGUACCCAAUCUAACCCGAAUCCGGGUGUACCUAAUCCGAACCGGAACUGAAUAUAUGCAAUUACCCUAAGAGUAGUAAAUCCAUUACCCAUUUAACCGGAACGGGUUAUCUAUAUGCCCAUUCCUAGAUUUGAUCUUAGAUCUAUACAAGCUUUACAAAUUUUGAGAUUUCAUCGACACUGGAAUUCUAAAUUUCAUGAGAGCUUAAAAAAACUUUGUAGAUCUUCGUAGAUUCUCUAUAUAAAACGAAAAAAUUAAUUCAAUCAAGCAAAACUCACCAAAAUUGAAGCUUUAAAACCGCAACAUGAGAAUAAAGCAAAGAGAACAAAACAAAGCUGAUAUUCGAACGGGACAUAAAUAUCUGAUAUAUUUGUAAAUGUUUUGAGUUUUGUAUCCAAUUAUACCCAAAAUCUAGCAAAAGAUCUGAAAUUUAACCAUAAUCCACCAAAAAAACAUACCAGUAUUUCAGGUAUUCAGGUACUUGUUCAGGUAUGAGAUACAAUCAAGUAUGAAAUACACGAACUGAUUAGUACCCAUUUUUAGGGUAUUUAUAACUUCUAAAAGUCUAAACCUGAUUCGUCCUAAACUUGAAUGACCGAAUCAAACUGAACCAAUUUUGUAUAUUUACUCAAUUAAGUCCUAAAAUCCUCUAUCUGAUUUGAACGCGAUCGACUAGAGUACAUGAAUACAGAAUAUCCAAUCAUAUCCACCAUAAAGGAUACUAAACUCUCCGAUUUGAAUUACCCGAAUCCAAAAAAGCCGAAUAACGUGCAUUUUGUUUGUAUUUGAUUAUAUUAAUUUGCAUAUCUAUGGGCUGUUAAUGCCAAUAAUAUAUUUUGGGUGUUCUUGGGCUUGAACUUUAUUGGGCUAGGAAUGGUUGUAUAUUUAACCCUACUUCUGAUUAGUCUCUUAGUAAAGAAACUAGGGUUUUCGUCGCCGUCAUUUUUCUUGACCUAAAGAGCGAUCAAUUGAGAAGGAGAGAGAGAACAAAACUUCCGUCAUUCCAGCCUUAUAUUUUAACGGGACAUGGGCAUAUUGCAAAUAAUGUAUUUUCUCAUUUUUGGUUACUAGGCUGCGUUUUGAAAAACCCACCUGAACGAUGUUUAGGGUUUCUGUUUUUCGUUAUACUUUUUAUAAGGGCGCCGAUAAAUCGUUUUCUAGGGUUUAUUUGAUUAAAAAGAGAGCCGCCGUAAAACAUUAACGUUGUUUAGGGUUUGUAUUUCAUAUAUUUUUAAAAUGCCGUCGACAAAACCUUUUCCUAGGGUUUCUGUCUUUGAUCAAACCAAAAACAACAAAUUUGAUAAAGAUAGCAAAUCAGGAAUCAGAGAAAUUGGUGUAUGCCGGUGACCAAAGUAUUCUCAACAUACUAGAAUGAUUCAUAAAAAUACGAGGAUUUUUUUUCUUUCUUUCGGGUAUUUCUUUCAUUCCAUACAAUUCAAAGUCAAAGAUGAACACCUAAUUGUGCGUUGAAAAAAAAAGACAUAAUGUGCACAUUUUGAUCUAUAUAUAAUUAAUUAUGUAAAUUUUAUACCUCAUGUUUAUUUUUAAUCAGUUUAUUUAUAUAGACAAAAAAAUGAUUCACAAAUCACAAUGAUGGAUCUUGUUGUUAAAUUAUUUAACUACAAAUUAUAUUAAAGUAAAUUAGGAUAGUCCGAUGUGCGAGUUUUAAAGUUUUAUAAUUAAAUUCUUAAAAUAUACCGAUAAUCUUUUAGUUAGAGAAGAUAAAUAUUUAUAUAUUCUUUAUAACAAAAAAAUAUAUUUUUAUAUUUGUUUUGCUUUAACUUAUUUGCAGCUCUAUAUUUUAAUUUUAUUGUAAGAUUAUAUUACAAUAAACACUACAAGAAAACUGUCAUUUUGCGAGGGAAGAAUUACUCGCUAAUCCCUCGCAAACAGCCAUACGCGAGGGACUUGCGAGGAAAUCAAGUUCCUCGCAAAUGGUAAAAAGUUGCAAUUCCCUCGCAAUUUUUGCGAGGAACUGUUUUCCUCGCAAAACACACGCAACACAGUUCUAGUAUUUCCCUCGCAACUGUUGCGAGGGAUUUGCGAUUCUUUUCUUUCUGCCUAGCAAAUCCAUCACAAACAACUGAUUUCCUGAUAUAUUAAGGCUUGAUUAGUGGUUAAUUAGACUCUAAUUAUCUGGUUAAUUAGUUGUUGAUUAGAGAUUAUUUUUGAUUCUUAAAUAAAGACACAAGAAGAAGAAGAAGCUGAAAUUAUCAUUAUCUAAAAUGUAUUCUACAAUGCCAAUAUUUGAAACCAUGUUCUAAAAAGAUUACAAGGAAAAAAGAGAAAGACAAUGUUCUCAAAAUACUGAUGAUGGAGAGGAUCCUGUUGCAAGGUUAGCUAGGGCAGCAGCAGCAGGUGUCUCCUCAUUGGCUUGCUGUUCUGGAGUUGUAGCUACAGGUGGUUCAUUUGCGCUAACCGGUCUUGUCUGUGUCGAGGAACCUCAUCGAAGAAUGGCAGCUAAAGCUGGAUCUUUCUCAGCAAGAUAGUCAAAGAGGAUAUCAAAGUUGUUGAUCUUCUCAGCCUGAUUUUGAAUGCAAGCUUCAGCGGCAGCCAGCUUCGCAGAAAGUAUAACCGGAUCAUCACUAGGAAGUGUUGGACCACUAUGAACUGAGGAUGCUUCAAACUGCAGAGAUCCAACACCAUAAAUCCUUCCUUUCUUUCUCGGAGCAACCUGCAAAGGUCACAAAAACUCACAAGGACACAACAGAAAACAAGUGAGAAAACAAGUUCAACACAAGACAAAAGAAUUCAAACACAAUAAGCUGUCAAGAUUUCAGACAACACAAUAAGUUGUCAAUAAGAUUUCAGACAACACAAUAAGAUUUCAGACAACACAAUAAGUUGUCAAUAAGAUUUCAGACACAACUAGACAACGCUAACAGUGAUUAUCAAGUAGACAACACAACCACACUUGCAAUAGAAAGCAAUUCAAACACAACACUACACAAAGUAUAAUGAAUAAGCUGUCAAGAUUUCAGACAACACAAUAAGCUGUCAAUAAGAUUUCAGACAACACAAUCAGAUUUCAGACAACACAAUCAGAUUUCAGACACAACUAGACAACGCUAACAGUGAUUAUCAAGUAGACAACGCUAACAGUGAUUAUGAAGUAGACAACAGAAAGAGCACAUAAAAUUUACCUCAGUAAAUAUCUUGUUUUUGGCAUGAACAGAAAGUCCACCUGAUCCAGUGCUCUCCGGAUUGUCCCCUGAACCCAUAUGAGACUCUUCCUCUUCAAUCCUAGAUGUUACUUGCUUGUAGAUCUCCUCUGACUUCCCAUCGAUGAAGCUUCCAUCCGCUUUUCUGUGUGUCUCAUCUAGCAGCUCAAGGAAAUCAGGAGUUUUUUCUCCAGUCUUCUCACACUGAAACACAAAGAGAUAAACAAGAUGUCAGUAUGUAAUUCUAGAUUAAGUAAUGGUAAGGAGAGAAGAAUACUUAUCUUACUCGUUUUCUUGCACGGGCUUUGUAUGAGGUCUGGCCUGAACGGUGUUUAUAGAUGCCUUUGCCAUCCGGAUCAUGAUACCUAGCAUUUCUGCUGUUGUUACUCUUUUUUUUCUGACUUUGGAUCUUGCCAAAACAGUACAAGACCUUUCCACACAUCAGGAUCAAUCCAUUUUGGCUUAGCUUCAUCACCUUUCUCCUUCCAAUUUCCCUUCCACCGUGACACUUGAUCAGUCAUCCUAGACUUUAGCUUUGCUUCAAACUCAACCCUUACUCUUUUGUUAAUUGAACGGUCCCAGUUAUAUACUUGCUACAAAAGAGAAGCUAACAUCAGAAAUGAAACCAUACACAAAACAAGCAUAAACAUCAAAAGAGCACAGAACUUACCGCAAACGUUUCAUACCAUCGAUCGAUUGUAGCCUUUGAUGUUUGUGACCAAUUGGCAUGAGGUUCUUUGAAAUCUCUUUCAAAGAUGAUGCGGACUGUUGCUGCAACUGCAGGGUCAUCGUCAAACCUACAAGAAGACCAACCAGCCCACACAUAAGGAUUUCUAUGUCUUUAAACUUCUAAGACAUCACAAUGCUAAGUACAACCAAGCUGUUCUAUUUGUUGAAACUUCUAAGGCACUACAACCUAAGGCACUACAACCUAAUUCCAUUACGCUCCAAGGCACUACAAAGUUCUAAGGCACUACAACCUAAGCUGUUCUAGGACAAUGAAUUUAACCUUACCAGAGAGUUCCCGGAGGACGCUUUGGGUCUAGCCUUGUCAAGCCAGCACGACCAGGACUAUCAAGAAGCUCCUCCAGUGUGAGAUUGUUGAGACGCUCAGCUUGAGAAUCACAAUCAUUGACAGAAGGCUGAGUGGUUGGCGUUGGAGGCGAUGGUGGAUGGCGUGAACCUUGAACCCCUGAAAUAUUCCCAGCACUGACAGGAGAAUUGACAUGCAACGAGUCUCCCUGCUGUGACCUAUAUCGUGCAUAAGUAUUCUCCGACGACGACAUCUUGCAAAACAAACAAAACCCAGAAGCGAUGAAGAAGAAGUUAGAUCGGAGAGAAGCAGAAGCAGAAGCAGAAGCAGAACAAAUGAUUGACAGAGUUUAGAUCCGUAAACUAGAACAGAUUAGAUCUGGAAAACAAUGUCAGAUCGGAGAUGAAGAAGAAGUUAGAUCGGAGUGAAGCAGUUAGAUCGGAGAAGAAGACGUUACCUUGGAGGCAAAAGAGAUCGAGUCGCGACUUGUGCUGGAGAAGAAGAGUCGCGACGGCUGCUGGAGAAGAAGAGUCGCAACGGCUGCUGGAGAAGAAGAGUCGCGACGACUGCAGGAGAAGACGAGACGCGACGGAGAAGAAGAAGAAGUUAGAUCGGACGGUGGAAGUUGGAAUGGAAAGAAGAAGUUAUAUCGGAGAAGAAGAGGUUACCUUGGAGAAGAAACAGAUCGACUCGCAGCUGAACCUGGAGAAGAAGAGUUGCGGCGGCUGCUGGAGAAUAAGAGGCGGCGACGUAAUCAGAUCGAAGAAGAAGAGAGGCGACGGCGAAGAAAAUAGAUCGGAGAAGAAGAGAAGCCGGCGACGAGGAAAACAGAUCGGAGAAGAAGAGAAUCGAAGAAAAAAAAUUAGGUUUAGUAUAUAUAAGCAUAUAUAUCCUCGCAAAUCCCUCGCAAACCUUGCUAGGAAAUUGCGAGGAACCGUCUUUUAAACCAAUCAAAAUGCAGCUUACAUUGCGAGGGAACUGCGAGAGCGCCUAGCAAAUCCCUCGCAGACCUUGCUAGGAAAUUGCGAGGAAUCGUAUUUUAAACCAAUCAAAAUUCAAUAAUUAUAUUUGAUUCAGUCUCUCCUAUUUCUAGUAAGACCCUCAGCAAAAUAAGAACAUGACUAAAAAUUCUAAAUAUUUUAGGGUUUAGUGUAAAUAUUGCGAGGGAACUGCUACGCGUACUAGCAAACACCUCGCAAUUUCCUCGCAAUGUAUAAUCAAUUUUGAAAAAUACAACAAUCACUAUUCAAAAUCAUUUGGAUUCAUUUUUUUUAAUCAUUAGAACGUUAAUUAUCUACAUUUGAACCUAUUUUAUCAUCAUAUAAUUCGAAUGUGUUUUUUCCCCAAAUACAUCAAUGAUGAUCUUAUGGUUUUCAUUAAGUAUGAAUCAUGAAUGUUUAACAUUUUCAAAAUGAAAUGUUGAUAUUGAAACCAAUACAAUAUUUUUUUGUUCAAACCAUAUAAUCAACUUGAAUGAUUAUAUGGUCACUUAGAUUCAUAUCUAUAAAUGAGAAUCGAAGAUUGCAAUACACUUUUAUGUAUUUUAGGGUUUAGGGUAAAGAUUUGCGACGUAUCUGCUUGGGAUUUGCGACGGAUAAUAUCUUUCUUGCGAAACCAUCGUACUUCCAUCGCAAAUUUGCGAGGAAGUCUUCCCUCGCAAGUUUUGCGACGGAAUUGCUACUCGCGUGCGGUACGUAGCAAGUUUCUCGCAAUAUCCUCGCAAUAAUUGCGAGGAAUGCCUUCCCUCGCAAACCUUCCUCGCAAAUUGACUGUUUUCUUGUAGUGAAACUAGUACAUUUAAAUUACUAAUCUUUAAAACUUUUUGCCAUAUAUAUUCAUCAUUAAUUUAUUGCCUAAUCUCAAAAAAUAGUUUCGCAGUCUCGCCUAAAAUAUGAAUCAACCACUUCUUGAGAAAAUGUUUUACCUGUAGACCACCAGUCAGGUUAUUUUAAUCUAUUUACAAAUCUACUAUCUACGUUACAACUAAAAAACGUAUCUAUGAGUACAUUAAGCCUAUCAGUUUCAAUCCAAUCAUAUUUUACUACUGAAAUAUGUUCUAUGAACACCUACAAAAUGUAUAUAUGAACACAUUAAGCCAAUUAUAUUCUUAUUUUGUUUAUGUCCAACUAUAUGUCUCUUCAUUUACACUUUUGCAUAGUUUCUUCAACCACUAAAUGUUUUGACUCAACAAAUAUUUUGAACAAAAAAAUAUAUCAUAUAGCAAUAAUUGAUGAUGUAUUUACAAGAAAACUAAAUUAAGUAAAAAAACUACUUGAUUAGAAUGCGUUUAUGACCAACCAAUAAACUAAAGGUUGAGAAAUUAAAAGAAAUUAAUUUGACGUAACUAAAAAAAUAAUAUAAAUGAGUCUUAGAUAAUUCAAAGAUAGAAAUAUAAAUGAAAGUAACAAUCUAAAAUACGACCACUAAAUUAAAAGUAAAUAGACAAAGAAAAAUCAUAUAUCGAUCUUACCAUAUACAAAUUACAAAUUUGUUUCAAAUCAACACAUAUUUCUAAUUAAAAAAAAACAAAUUGAAAUAUAUAAUGUAAAAUUUUACAUUAAAUCAUGACACAUGUAGUAGUCUAAUUUUUUUAGUACAAUGAUAUAUGAUAAUUAAGUUUUAUAUAAUUCAAAUACAAAAAAUCAAUACAAAUAAUCUUGAAAACAAAAAUUAAAUUAUAAAUUUUAGGAAGACGAUGAUUUAUAAAUCUUUAAUAAUUCAAUGCAUGCCACGAUAAUGUGAUAACUUUGUAGCUGUGUAUAAGCACACCUAGAGAUGGAGAUAACACCUAGAGAUGGAGAUAGAGAGAGAGAAAGCUUCAGGAGGAGAUGAAGAAGAUGAGAGGAGGUGCAGAUUUGGGGAUGUUUUUUUCUUUUUUUUUCGGUCCAAUUUUUUUUUUUCUGGAUGGAUUGAUCAACUUUACAAAAUCUCUGGCAAAUAUUUGGUAGAUUUUUAUUUUAUUUUCAUUGCUUUAACUUAUGAAUAAAUCUAUAUUUUGAAAAAUAAAAAGCUUGUGUACUUCUCGAAUGUUUAUGGUCUUAAUAUUGCUGCUUGCUUCGUUUUGGUCGCAUGAUUUUAAAUUUACUAGGUUAUAAAUCCACGCGUAAUUUUUUUAUCAAAAUUGAUUCUUAACUCUAUUGAUUUUUAUAAUUUUUAAUAUGGUAUAUUUAAAAUAAAAUGUUUACUUUAUUAGAAAUUUUAAUACUAUAAUCAAUAAUAUAUACUUUUCACCAAAUUAUAUUACGCGUGGGUUCAAAACCAAGUGUUAAUUACUUUGAAAAGCAAAUUUUAUAUAAUAAAAUUUUAAAGUAUGAUAUACUCAUAACUUGAUUUUUUUUUUUUUGCCGGCUACUCAUAACUUGAUUUGGUGCUAUUUAUGACAAUUUCUCUAAUUUAUUCGACUUUUGUUAUUUUGUUCUUUAAAGCAAUGAUAAAUUAUUAUUUGGUCUGGCCCGGAACGGACUGCUUUCAAAUGGACCGGGCCGCCAGCCCACAUACUAACUCAUUUAGAUAUAAGUUUCUUCUAACCUCUCUUUCUCUAAAAAGCUGUCGGCGAGUGGGAGAAGCGCAGAGAGAGCAAACAAAGAGCAAACUUGAAUUAUUUCUCCGUUGGCUUUGUUUGAAAAUAUAUAAAAAAAACAAUUAACGGGCCAUGAGCUUGUUGCAAAUAAUCUAUUUAUUUUUCAUUUUAGGAUUUUUGUUUCUCGACACGAGUUGAGCUGAUUUUGAUAAGCCCACAUGACAUUGUUUUAGAGUUUCUGUUUUUCUUCUUUAUACUUUUUAAAAUGCGGCCAGUGAAUAAUUUUCUAAGGUUUAUGCUUUAAUACAAGUUAAAUAAUUUUUUUGUAAAUAAUUUUUUGUUGGAAUGUCAAAUUUAUUCAACAAAAGAAAAUGAUUACAAAGAGUUUUGAAAGGUAAAAAAUGGAGAAAAUAAACGUGAAAAGUAGAAACAAAAAUGAUGAAAUUGGCGCCACUUACAUCAUUAUAGAAAGUUCAAAAGGCCUAAUUCUGACACAAUAUUAUUAACGGGUCAUGGGCUUAAUGACAAUAAUAAACUUUUCUCACUUUUGAGUUUUAAUAAGCCCACAUUUGCUUUAGGGUUUCUGCGUCUCUAUCUUUAAAUUGCUUCCGACGAUUCAUAAACUAGGGUUUCUGCCUUUAGCCGUCGUGAGAGAGAGAGCAAAUCGAAGAGAGAGCAAAGAGAAAAUAAUAUGUUGUUUGCGUUUGGUACGGUGACUCGAUCUGUGGCUAAUUCAGUGGUGGUUUGCUACGGCUUUCUUUCGACAAUGGUGUUUUCUUUCGACCUAAACUUGAUAGACCGAACCAAACUGAACCAAUUUUUAUAUAUAUUUACUCAAUUAAAUCCUAAACUCCUCUAUUUGAUCUGAACCCGAUCAACCCGAAUACAUAAAUAUCUAAUCUUAUCCAUCUGAAAGGAUACUAAACUCUCUAAUUCGAAUUACCCGAAUCCAGAAAAAGCCGAAUAGCAUGCAUUCUAUUGGUACUUGAUUAUAUUAAUUGGCAUAUAUAUGACCUGUUAUUGCCAAUAAUAUAUUUUGGGUGUUUCCUGGGCUUCAGUUUUAUUGGGCUAGGAAUGGGUGUACUUUUAAACCCACUUCUGAUUAGUCUCUUAGUAAAACCCACUUUUAAACCCACUUCUGACCCACUUCUGACGCCGUCAUUUUUCUUGAGAAGGAGAGAGAGCACCACUUCCGUCAUUCCAGCCCAAUAUUUUUAACGGGCCAUGGGCUUAUUGUAAAUAAUGUAUUUUUCUCAUUUUUGGUUUUCUUUAUGGGCACGAUUUUAGUGGGCUGAAUUUUGAUAAAGGCCCACAUAUGAAAGAUAUUUAGGGUUUUUUCUCUUGAUACCUUUUAAAACGCCGUCGAGAAAUCUCCCUCUAGGGUUUCUUUGAUCAAACCAGAGAGCCGUCAGGGAGAGCAAAACAAAGAUCGGAGAAGAUGAAGACGAUUCUUUCUUCCGAAACGAUGGACAUCCCCGACAGUGUUACCAUCAAGGUUCACGCUAAAGUGAUCGAAGUCGAAGGAC